UUCCCAAGAAGUUUCUUUUCACGUUGGGCUAAGUAGCAUGAUAAUUCUGCUGGGAGCUAAACCUUCCCCCUUAACGCUUCCCCCCACCCACCGUUCUUCCGUUGCCUCAGAAUAUAGAGAUUUGACAAUAAACGCGAUUGUUGUUAACGUCCAUACUAUGACUUCCCUCCAUCUCCAGUAAAAGCAAAAGUAGCAUUAAAGGAAAACCUAGAGACCUUUGGACCUUUGGAGUGAGUGAAUGUGUUCUUCUGUUGUUCAGAAAAAAAUAUUACUUAGAUCACUCCAAGGAAACUGGAUCCAAAAACAAAAGAUGGGAAUAAUUAUGGUUGAAGAAUCUCAGAAAAGACAGGACAUCAGAAGAGCCAUCAGAAGUCACCUAGCAACCAGAACUGGUAGCAAAGACAAUUGGAUCCAAUAGUAGCAGCAAUUAAGCCCAGUGAGAGGAUCCAGAAAAACAGAUGAGCAAAUAUCAACUGAAUGAUCCAUCCCAACUUGAUUUAUCCAUCAGCUGAGAUGCCUUGCUUCCCAAGGAACCAACCCAACUAAACAAGGAUUGUUUCAAGGGAAGUCUUUUGCUGUGUAAACCUUGAAGUACCAUAGAAAUGAGAGUGACAUUAUCUCUUAGGUUGUGCUUGACUCCUUUCUAUUGCAUUAAAAAAGAGUCAUCUUGUUUUGACCUCAGAGGAAGAAGACCACUGGCAAGACAUUUUUGAUCAGGAAAAGAAGCUGAUCAUUUCACUCUCUCCCUUCUUCUGACUCCCUAGGUUCUUUUCCUUCCAAAGCUCUCUCAUACUCUACUGUUUGUCAGAUGUGUUCACUCCAAUGAGCAAUGCUUGUGUAUAUAGUGUCUUUCUGUCUUGUAUAUUUUAGCUAGGAGCCUCCAGGCUUCUUGUAAAGUCCUGACAAGGGAAAUCCCAUAAUGAAGGAUUUCACGGAGCUCUACAGACUGAAGGGGGUUUUUCUUCCCAUCUGUCAUUUUACUUUAAGCCUUGACCUCUCUGUUCCCAUGUAAGGCAGUGCUGGAGAAGAGGUCUGAACGCGGUAACCAAAUGGUUGGUCUUGGCCCCCUUGAAUUCUCUGCUGUGUGAACUGGAGCAAUUUGCCAGAGGUCCUCAUGAUACUGAAAUAGGAGAGGAAAAGGAAGCAUAAAAACUGUCCUUCUCAGGGUCUGUUUCAAAAAGGACAUACCUAAGGUUAAAAGAUGAUAAAUGCUAACACUGGAAAGGACCUUAGAGUUCCGUUAGUCCACACCCCAUUUUUGGAAAUAAGAAAAUUGAAGCUCAGAGCAGAAAUGGACUUUUUCAAGGUCACAAAUCCAGUCGUAUGUUUGGGAAGCAGCACUGAUUAAAGAUCAGGGAAUUUUGAAGCUUCCCUUUUGUGGAUCCCUUCUAGCAUUGAGAGGCUCUGUUUUUAUGCUCAUUUCUGUUUAUUGUUUUGUUCUGAUUCAAUGAUAGAAUGCUGGGCCCAAAGUCAAGAAGACUUAUCUUUUCUCAGACACGUACUAACUGUGUGACUUUGGGCAAGUCACCAAACCCUGUUUAGCUCAGUUUCCUUAUCUACCACAUGAGAAGGAAAUGGCAAACCACUCUAUCUUUGCCAUACAUACACACACACACAUGCUCACACACAUAUAUACACAUAUAUGUUUGCAUGUGUACAUACACAUAGUCAUAAAUAUAUACAUAUACAAACUCAUGCUCACAUGCAUGUACACACAUAUAUGUGUAUGUACAUACAUAUACUCACAUAUAUAUAUAUAUAUAUAUAAUAUGUAUACAUACAUAUACACAAAUAUAUUUUUAUAUAUCUAUACUUGAAAACCCUGGGAGUUGAGCUAACUCAGAGAUAAUCUAAUCUACUCUUUAUUUUAAAGAUAAGGAAGUCGAUGUUCAGAAGGUCAUAUGGUGGUGAAGUUUAUUCUCCAAUGAAGUCCUGACUUAGCUCCAGUUUCUUUUUAUUCUAUCAUAUUCAUCUUAGUACUGUUCCCUUGAAGUCUGUCUGCCCAUCACUCAGUAGCAGAAGACCCAUUCCUUAUAACACAAUAGUUUUUGACAGAAUAGGUUUGAUUCUUAGAAUGGCUUGACUACUGACCAACUUUCCAAUGUCAAUGUGAUCGGGAGGUUAUUAAAAAAAGACAGACUCACAUGCAUGCACAUAUACAACCAAAUUUUUAAAAAGUGAACAGUCAUGGAAGCUUAGAGAGAAAAUAUGCAGCACUGGGCUUGCGCUGCCUUGAAAGGGCAAACUCUUCAAAAUUCACAAGGAUUCUGAUUGUUUGAAAUCCUGGUAACAGUUCAUCUUCCCAGAGACCUUGUUCACUUAUUAGAGUUCUUAAAACCCUUUUGUUUGUAAGCUUGCUGUUGAGUACAGAAAGUAUUCUCAGCACACAGCUGUUCAGUGAAAGAAAGAGUUGAAGGGGGGGAAAAAAAAGCAAAAGAAAUUUGGAGGAAAAGGAGAAGAAAAAGGAACAAUCUGGGGAUACAAACAUGGGAAAAAAAUGACCUAAGCCAAAGAGAAGAGCUAG
ensembl:lncRNA